rnacentral:tRNA from 1 species
CUUUUGAUGGCCGAGUAAUAGGCAGUAGAUUUUUAAUCUAUCAACGAUAUUAUAUCUCAAAAGU